UACGUAGGGUGCAAGCGUUAUCCGGAAUUAUUGGGCGUAAAGAGCUCGUAGGCGGUUUGUCGCGUCGAAUGUGAAAUCCCGGGGCUCAACCCCGGGUCUGCAUUCGAUACGGGCAGACUAGAGUUCGGUAGGGGAGUCUGGAAUUCCUGGUGUAGCGGUGAAAUGCGUAGAUAUCAGGAGGAACACCUGUGGUGUAGACAGCUUACUGGACCACUUCUGACGCUGAGACACGAAAGCGUGGGUAGCAAACAGG
rnacentral:rRNA from 1 species